GACGAACGCUGGCGGCGUGCCUAACACAUGCAAGUGGAGCGACGAACCGGGCUUCGGCCCGGGGCAAAGCCGCGAACGGGUGAGUAACACGUGGGUAACCUGCCCCGAUGAUUGGGACAACCCGAGGAAACUCGGGCUAAUACCGAAUGUGCCCUACGACCGCAAGGUCGCUGGGGAAAGGAAGCUUCGGCCUCCGCAUCGGGAUGGGCCCGCGGCCCAUUAGCUUGUUGGUGAGGUAACGGCUCACCAAGGCGACGAUGGGUAGCUGGUCUGAGAGGACGAUCAGCCACACUGGGACUGAGACACGGCCCAGACUCCUACGGGAGGCAGCAGUGGGGAAUCUUGCGCAAUGCGCGAAAGCGUGACGCAGCAACGCCGCGUGGGGAAGACGGCCUGGU
rnacentral:rRNA from 1 species